rnacentral:rRNA from 1 species
GCUGGCGGCAGGCCUAACACAUGCAAGUCGAGCGGUAACAGAAAGAAGCUUGCUUUCUUUGCUGACGAGCGGCGGACGGGUGAGUAAUGCCUGGGAAUAUGCCUUAGUGUGGGGGAUAACUAUUGGAAACGAUAGCUAAUACCGCAUAACGUCUUCGGACCAAAGAGGGGGACCUUCGGGCCUCUCGCGCUAAGAUUAGCCCAGGUGGGAUUAGCUAGUUGGUGAGGUAAAGGCUCACCAAGGCAACGAUCCCUAGCUGGUCUGAGAGGAUGAUCAGCCACACUGGAACUGAGACACGGUCCAGACUCCUACGGGAGGCAGCAGUGGGGAAUAUUGCACAAUGGGGGAAACCCUGAUGCAGCCAUGCCGCGUGUAUGAAGAAGGCCUUCGGGUUGUAAAGUACUUUCAGUCGUGAGGAAGGCAUUGUAGUUAAUAGCUGCAGUGCUUGACGUUAGCGACAGAAGAAGCACCGGCUAACUCCGUG